rnacentral:ribozyme from 1 species
AACUUUACGGUGAGAAUCCGUGACAAACUUGCGGGGCUUAUGUCUUAUUAUAUUUAAGCAUUAGUGCAGACUUUAAAAUCAAGU